UCGUGCCUCUGUCUCAUACAUUUAGCCUCUCUGUGUCUACACAACCACAAAACCUCUCUCUCACACAGAUCAAUCACCAACGAACCUCACGACUGCGCAUCCUCAGCACCGUCGGUCCCCGUACGCCGCAAAUCAACACCACCACCGCCGCUAACAGGCAAGUAUUUAUCGGGAGGAGAACAAUGUUAUAGACUUGUAUAUCAUACUUCUUAGAUUUUCAAGGAAACGUUGCCUAGGCACUCUUUUUUGGGCCCAAAUGGUCUUUGGGGUGAAUGGCUGGGGCCUAGCCCAGAGAUAAAGGUUCACUAUCUAAGCAAUACUGACUUGACUCCAAAUGAAAAUUCAAGGAGGUUGCACAAUAUGACCUUCAGGAAGUAAAAGAUGGUGAGUCAGAAGUGGGUAAAUCUACCAUGGAAUCAUUGCUGUCUUUGGAUGAUGGAAGACAGUCACUUCCAGCUGAUGACUCUUGUCCUCCCUUAAAUAAUGAAGCAACCAGUAAAAAUGAUGGAUGAUUUUUUGAGAUUGGCAUGAGAAAAUACUGCAAAAAAUUUAGAAACAUGUGGUGUUCUUACUGGUUCAUUGGUAAUUGGUACAAGAUUUGUGAAUACAAAAAGUAAAUGAUAACUAUGUUUAGAUAUUUUAUACUUGUGGUUACUUAUGUACUUGAUCACAUUUUGUAGAAAAACAGGGUGUUCCAUAUCACUACAUCGAUAGUUCCAAAGCAAGAGUCAACUUUAGAUUCGUGUCAGACCUUGAAUGAAGAAGAAAUUUUUGAAGUCCAAGACAAAUAUUCGCUUUUUCCUCUUGGGUGGAUCCAUGAUAAAUUUUUAUAUUCAUUGAUAAGUAUAUGCAAUUGCAAUUGGCUACCUCUUGUAAAUCUGUAUAUUUUUUCGUUUUAAUUUGUAACUUACUUACCCCCUGUGGACAUCCCAUUUUUGACCACCCGCAAGGAUCGAGCGCUUUGUCCGGUACACUCAAUGAUGAAAGUGGUAUUGUGCAUGGUUCGAGGUCUCAACGAAGGAGCCUUGUUUAAGCUUCAAAACGACCCCAAACCUUUCAUAUUCCCAUUGAUUAUACCCAAGAAAUCCUUUUUUACACAUUGUGCCACCCUGUGCUAAGGUUGAAACAAAAAAACAGGGGAACACAUUGAGGCCCGGCCGUGCCUCAGUGAGGGCCGACUGUGGCUAUUAAGGGCCGGCCGGGCCUUGGUAGUGAGAAACACUGUUUUGGGCGGGAGGUCGCCAGCUGUCCAUUUUUGAAGAUAUUUAUGAUAUUUUGGCUCAAUUUCUAUUAAAACGACCAUAUACCUCUGUUUUAAGGGUUGAAAAUUUUCAAGAAAGCCUCUAUACCACCUUAAGAGCUCCUUCUUCUCCUUCUUCUUGUGCAAGCAACACUUUGAGCUAACCUAUCACCUUGAACCUAUAUCCAUACACCAUAUACACUUUCAUACCUUAGUUUAGGAACCUUGGUUGAGCGUUGAACACCAUAAUUCAAGCUUGAGAGUGUGUUGGAGCCUAGUUUGAUCACAAACAAAAAGCUUACUUUCUUGAGAGGUAUAAGCUUGCUAUCUUCCCUUUUGCUUUCAUCUCUUUCAUUUGCUAUAUGAUUCUUGUAGUUUCUUGUUGCUUUGAUUCUAUUCUAAGUAUUUGAGUUUGGGUUUGGAGAGCUACCAAAAGGAUAGAGAGAAUUUAUACUCUUUCUACACCUUUAUCUAUAGCUCAAACCCUUACUCCUACACUCUUUUUCUUUGUUCUCUACACUGAUUUUCAGAGUUA